UCCAGAGCCCGGGCUUCACGGUCCCGGGCCACAAUGCCCAGAAAUUGUUCCCAGUGAAUUCCAACCGUCCGUCGCUGUUCUCGAACAGCAUGUCCUGAGAAGUGAACCGUGUCAAUUUCUCACCACCACAAGACUCGAACGAGAUCCGAGUACCAUGAGGCAACAUCCGUUACCUGAAAUCCGAAGAGCUGGUCGCUGAAAUCGGCCAUGGUCAUCAUCAAGAAAA